UACGAAGGGGGCUAGCGUUGCUCGGAAUCACUGGGCGUAAAGGGUGCGUAGGCGGGUCUUUAAGUCAGGGGUGAAAUCCUGGAGCUCAACUCCAGAACUGCCUUUGAUACUGAAGAUCUUGAGUUCGGGAGAGGUGAGUGGAACUGCGAGUGUAGAGGUGAAAUUCGUAGAUAUUCGCAAGAACACCAGUGGCGAAGGCGACACACUGGCCCAUUACUGACGCUGAGGCUCGAAAGCGUGGGGAGCAAACAGG
rnacentral:rRNA from 1 species